CUAGAUCCCUGAGGAAUCGCCACACUGACUUCCACAAUGGUUGAACUAGUUUACAGUCCCACCAACAGUGUAAAAGUGUUCCUAUUUCUCCACAUCCUCUCCAGCACCUGUUGUUUCCUGACUUUUUAAUGAUUGCUUUUUUCUCUGUCUUACAAACUCCUGCUCAUCCUUUAAGGUCAGCCUCAGAUGUCACAACCUCUGUGAAGCUCUCCCCAGCUCUCCUAGCAUCACGUCAUCUUGACAGCUAUGAAUUCCUUAAAGCCAUUUUAAACUGAGGUACUGUUUCACCUUUCUAAUUUAGUUUAACCUUGUGAAAUUUCACUGUGUUUUGUUCAGGUGGAAACAUUUUAUUUACAUUAUCAGAUUUGGUAUUGUCUUCCUGUAAGAAAAUAGGGAUAUAGCUUUGGAGCUUUAGUUGAACUUAUAUUAAUCUAGUCUUAUCAACAACAGGAGGGCAUCUGACAUCAGUUAGAGGCUGAUUGGAAAGAACUGUUGAGCUGACGACGCUAACUUUAAAAGUCAGA
rnacentral:lncRNA from 1 species